rnacentral:rRNA from 1 species
UACGUAGGGGGCAAGCGUUGUCCGGAUUUAUUGGGCGUAAAGAGCACGCAGGCGGUUUGGCAAGUCGGAUGUGAAAACCCGGAGCUCAACUCCGGACCUGCAUCCGAAACUGCCCGACUAGAGGUAGGUAGGGGAGAUCGGAAUUCCUGGUGUAGCGGUGAAAUGCGCAGAUAUCAGGAGGAACACCGGUGGCGAAGGCGGAUCUCUGGGCAUUAACUGACGCUGGAGGAGCGAAAGCAUGGGGAGCGAACAGGA